UACGUAGGGUACAAGCGUUAAUCGGAAUUACUGGGCGUAAAGCGUGCGCAGGCGGUUGUGUAAGACAGAUGUGAAAUCCCCGGGCUCAACCUGGGAACUGCAUUUGUGACUGCACAGCUGGAGUGCGGCAGAGGGGGAUGGAAUUCCGCGUGUAGCAGUGAAAUGCGUAGAUAUGCGGAGGAACACCGAUGGCGAAGGCAAUCCCCUGGGCCUGCACUGACGCUCAUGCACGAAAGCGUGGGGAGCAAACAGG
rnacentral:rRNA from 1 species